AUUGAACGCUGGCGGCAGGCUUAACACAUGCAAGUCGAGCGGGGGAAGGUAGCUUGCUACCGGACCUAGCGGCGGACGGGUGAGUAAUGCUUAGGAAUCUGCCUAUUAGUGGGGGGCAACAUCUCGAAAGGGAUGCUAAUACCGCAUACGUCCUACGGGAGAAAGCAGGGGAUCUUCGGACCUUGCGCUAAUAGAUGAGCCUAAGUCGGAUUAGCUAGUUGGUGGGGUAAAGGCCUACCAAGGCGACGAUCUGUAGCGGGUCUGAGAGGAUGAUCCGCCACACUGUGACUGAGACACGGCCCAGACUCCUACGGGAGGCAGCAGUGGGGAAUAUUGGACAAUGGGGGGAACCCUGAUCCAGCCAUGCCGCGUGUGUGAAGAAGGCCUUAUGGUUGUAAAGCACUUUAAGCGAGGGGGAGGCUACUUUAGUUAAUACCUAGAGAUAGUGGACGUUACUCGCAGAAUAAGCACCGGCUAACUCUGUGCCAGCAGCCGCAGUAA
rnacentral:rRNA from 1 species